UACGUAGGGUGCAAGCGUUGUCCGGAAUUAUUGGGCGUAAAGAGCUCGUAGGCGGUUUGUCGCGUCUGCUGUGAAAACUCGGGGCUUAACCCUGAGCCUGCAGUGGGUACGGGCAGACUAGAGUGUGGUAGGGGAGAUCGGAAUUCCUGGUGUAGCGGUGGAAUGCGCAGAUAUCAGGAGGAACACCGGUGGCGAAGGCGGAUCUCUGGGCCGACACUGACACUGAGAGACGAAAGCUAGGGGAGCGAAUGGG
rnacentral:rRNA from 1 species